rnacentral:misc_RNA from 1 species
GCCAUUUUUAAUUUGUAUUGUUUAGAUAAAGAGAUAUUGAAGCUGUACAAGAAGCCGUAUUAUCACGACAAUUAUGAAUAAAGAAACUGCAACAGUAACGAAAAUAAAAAGAAAUGGACUGAACAAAAUCCCUUUACAGCGAACUCCUUUACGUACAGACUUAGAGCAUCAGAAUAUGCAAAAGAGGGGAGGAACGUCAUCGGAAACUCGCCGAGGAUCUGUUUUACUUUAAUUGGACUUGAAUACUCAGUUAGAAUAAGUCUGUUGCUUAUUUCAAUCGCAGGAAGACGAGUUUACAAAAUGGCGUCACCAAAUGUUGCCGGGAAAGUUAAGCAACGCGUCUCUGACCAGUUAAUGCCCGGUGGUAGAGUUCCACACCGAGUUAAAUAAUAAAGGAAUUUACUACUGUUACACAGGCCCCCUAAGUGCGAAACCUGGGUGCAGACGGCUCUACUGGCCUUCUCGUGAUACAUUCCAUGUACCGUACACGUACCCGAAGAGGGGUGGAAAUCAAGAAUGUGUUGCAGGUAUAUAAAUUCGACCCCAGUGCAAUAAAAGACUUUAGCGACGAUGUAACUUAAGUGUUUAUUGCAGCCAAGUAGAAAAGCUUCCACAGGAAAACAUUCUGUAACAAAGACGUUGCUUCCGGUUUUCUCGCAAUUUUUACCUACUAAAGAAUUUUAUUUAAUAUUUUCAAGUUAGAAGCUUCCAUUUUUUAAAUAAUAGAUUUAUUUUUUUUUUCUUAUUUUGGCCCCAUUAAGCUUAAGAUGAGAAUUUAAAAAUUGAAGAUCUCGAAAUACUUUAUAAAGAAGUGGAUUUCUGUAAUUGAUCUCUGUAAUUGAGAUGCGGGAUUAUGUUUGCCAUAACACAAUGUAACUUCAAUAACACGGAUGAUAUUGUUCUUAGUAAUGUCGUAAAAUUCUUGGCAUUAACCUUCAUAAGAAUUCGUCAAAAUCUCUUUUUUCUUGGAAGUAAAUUCGUAAUUUGUAAGGAUAAUUUUCAUUGUUUUCUGGACAAACUCGUAAAACACUUGCACAAUCGAUAUUGGCUGAUGGGUAUUCUAUUUACGAUCAUCUUUAUUGUAUUUUCCCCCACAGAAAGUACUGAUUUUUUAAAAUAUUUUUUUUUUUGCAUUUUAUGCAGAAGAUAAGAGUAAAAACUUUACACUAAAGACUUUCCUAUUGCAAUGAGCUACUAGAAAAAUAUCGAUUUAUAAAAGUAGCAGUCAAAUUUGCUGACUUUGGCUUCAAAUUCACUAGUUUUUCCCCCUCUUCCCCGAUCGAUUUGCAUACUUUUUAAAUAAUCAUUCGAUGCAGAUAUUACUAAAAAUCGAUUUUAAUAUGUAAUUAUUUAAGUCGAUGAUCGAAUCGACGUAAAUUCUGAUCAAAUAGCCCUUAAAUUAUUCUCGAAUAAUGCGAAUUUUCAUAGUUUAAAGCUGCAUCUAACUGGCUUAUACUAUAGAGAAUCGCUUUUUAAAGUAAACUCCAUUUUAAAAAAAAUCAUUAAUUUUAAGCAUCUCCAUUGUCUUUGCCACUAAAUCAAAUUGUCUAAGUCCGUAAUUUUGCAUAUUGCUGUUUAAUUAUUCACAUUAUUGUCACCGCACGCCUUGGAAGAAUUCAGUUUUAAGUGGAGCAUUUGCGUUAGUUUGCAUUAUUAAUUUUUAAUAACGAGAUUAAGAUGCGUAUCAUUUAAAUGAGAUAAAAAUAAUAAUAAAGAAUAAAUUUAUUGUCGUAAAGAAUAUCAGAUGUUAUCAUCUCAUAUUCUCUACGACAGUAAGUGCAAAGAAUCCUUCAAGGGUUCUUUGCACUUAGAAAAAUUGGAGUCAUAAUUCAAUUCUUUGACCUUUUUAUUAAUAUUAAUAAUAAUAAAUCCAUAAAUUAAAGAAGACUUUGACCUUGUCUAUUAAUAACCUUACCAACAAUUCUUCUUAUAUCGCCUGUUACAAAAGCCUACGCUAUAUAAGUUAAUUAUAUUUACGUAUGUGUAAAUUGUAGUUAGUUUAUUAAUCAAGAUAUAAAUUAAUAAUUAAUGCGAUUAAGAUCUGGCUCACAGACAGACCUUGCAAAGUCCUUUCGGAUUAUAUUGUUGUUUUCGCGAAACCAAUUUAUUUGAUUGUCUUUCAACAGAAGUAAUAAUAAGUGAAAACUGGAUUGCGAUCCAAUUGCUACUGGUAACAAUAGACGUCAGUUGUUCGUGAAAUUAUUCAAAUUGUUCGAGCAAUGUAAUAGAUUCGUGUAAGCUCGAGUAAUAAGAUUAAAUUCGGCAGUGAUGUUGCAUGAACUUAUAUUAAUCCCCCGUUUAUUAAAAGGUUAGAGAUUUAAUCCCUAUAAAAACCUUACGUUCAAAUAUAUGAUCCAUAUCUCAUAUUGAUAGAGACACUGAAAUAACUAAUUUACUUAAAAAGUCCAUGUCAAUAUAUGAGGUAUGGAUCAUAUAUUUGAAUGUAACGUUUUAUAGAGAUUGAAUCUCUAAAUAUGACCUUAGAUUAAUCCUCCAUUUAUUCAAACUUCAUACACUAAUUGAGAUAAUUAUAGUGUCUUCAUAAUAAAACUUUAUCUCAAUUAGUGUAUGAACUUAGAUUAAUCCAUCAAUUAUUCAAAGGUCAUUUAGAGAUUCGAUCCCAACAAAACCUUAUAUUUGAAUAUACGAUCCAUACUUCACACUGAUAUAGACAAAUGGAGAAACACUAAUUAUAGUGUCUUUAUAAUAAAACUUAAUCUCAAUUAAUGUUAUCAACGAGUUCUCCAUUAUUAUUUUAUUUAUAUCCUUAAAAAUUUCGCAUAGGCACACAACUUUAGCCUUAUUUUAAUUAUUUCUAUGCCAUUUUUAACGUCACACUACACGAGCUCCCUCCCCCUCUUAACACUACAUUUUAUCACCUCUCUUACUUAGUUUUUCAAUAAUUUAUACGGCGUGCAAUUAUGGAAUAAAAUAUCUUAAUGCCUCCAUUAAUUAUCAAUGAAUAUUAAUAUUCAUAACGCAAG